CGGGACACGUGGUAUCCUGUCUGAAUAUGGGGGGACCAUCCUCCAAGGCUAAAUACUCCUGACUGACCGAUAGUGAACCAGUACCGUGAGGGAAAGGCGAAAAGAACCCCGGCGAGGGGAGUGAAAAAGAACCUGAAACCGUGUACGUACAAGCAGUGGGAGCCUCUUAAUGGGGUGACUGCGUACCUUUUGUAUAAUGGGUCAGCGACUUAUAUUCUGUAGCAAGGUUAACCGAAUAGGGGAGCCGAAGGGAAACCGAGUCUUAACUGGGCGUUAAGUUGCAGGGUAUAGACCCGAAACCCGGUGAUCUAGCCAUGGGCAGGUUGAAGGUUGGGUAACACUAACUGGAGGACCGAACCGACUAAUGUUGAAAAAUUAGCGGAUGACUUGUGGCUGGGGGUGAAAGGCCAAUCAAACCGGGAGAUAGCUGGUUCUCCCCGAAAGCUAUUUAGGUAGCGCCUCGUGAAUUCAUCUCCGGGGGUAGAGCACUGUUUCGGCAAGGGGGUCAUCCCGACUUACCAACCCGAUGCAAACUGCGAAUACCGGAGAAUGUUAUCACGGGAGACACACGGCGGGUGCUAACGUCCGUCGUGAAGAGGGAAACAACCCAGACCGCCAGCUAAGGUCCCAAAGUCAUGGUUAAGUGGGAAACGAUGUGGGAAGGCCCAGACAGCCAGGAUGUUGGCUUAGAAGCAGCCAUCAUUUAAAGAAAGCGUAAUAGCUCACUGGUCGAGUCGGCCUGCGCGGAAGAUGUAACGGGGCUAAACCAUGCACCGAAGCUGCGGCAGCGACACUAUGUGUUGUUGGGUAGGGGAGCGUUCUGUAAGCCUGUGAAGGUGGCCUGUGAGGGUUGCUGGAGGUAUCAGAAGUGCGAAUGCUGACAUAAGUAACGAUAAAGCGGGUGAAAAGCCCGCUCGCCGGAAGACCAAGGGUUCCUGUCCAACGUUAAUCGGGGCAGGGUGAGUCGACCCCUAAGGCGAGGCCGAAAGGCGUAGUCGAUGGGAAACAGGUUAAUAUUCCUGUACUUGGUGUUACUGCGAAGGGGGGACGGAGAAGGCUAUGUUGGCCGGGCGACGGUUGUCCCGGUUUAAGCGUGUAGGCUGGUUUUCCAGGCAAAUCCGGAAAAUCAAGGCUGAGGCGUGAUGACGAGGCACUACGGUGCUGAAGCGACAAAUGCCCUGCUUCCAGGAAAAGCCUCUAAGCAUCAGGUAACAUUAAAUCGUACCCCAAACCGACACAGGUGGUCAGGUAGAGAAUACCAAGGCGCUUGAGAGAACUCGGGUGAAGGAACUAGGCAAAAUGGUGCCGUAACUUCGGGAGAAGGCACGCUGAUAUGUAGGUGAAGCGACUUGCUCGUGGAGCUGAAAUCAGUCGAAGAUACCAGCUGGCUGCAACUGUUUAUUAAAAACACAGCACUGUGCAAACACGAAAGUGGACGUAUACGGUGUGACGCCUGCCCGGUGCCGGAAGGUUAAUUGAUGGGGUUAGCGGCAACGCGAAGCUCUUGAUCGAAGCCCCGGUAAACGGCGGCCGUAACUAUAACGGUCCUAAGGUAGCGAAAUUCCUUGUCGGGUAAGUUCCGACCUGCACGAAUGGCGUAAUGAUGGCCAGGCUGUCUCCACCCGAGACUCAGUGAAAUUGAACUCGCUGUGAAGAUGCAGUGUACCCGCGGCAAGACGGAAAGACCCCGUGAACCUUUACUAUAGCUUGACACUGAACAUUGAGCCUUGAUGUGUAGGAUAGGUGGGAGGCUUUGAAGUGUGGACGCCAGUCUGCAUGGAGCCGACCUUGAAAUACCACCCUUUAAUGUUUGAUGUUCUAACGUGGGCCCGUAAUCCGGGUUGCGGACAGUGUCUGGUGGGUAGUUUGACUGGGGCGGUCUCCUCCUAAAGAGUAACGGAGGAGCACGAAGGUUGGCUAAUCCUGGUCGGACAUCAGGAGGUUAGUGCAAUGGCAUAAGCCAGCUUGACUGCGAGCGUGACGGCGCGAGCAGGUGCGAAAGCAGGUCAUAGUGAUCCGGUGGUUCUGAAUGGAAGGGCCAUCGCUCAACGGAUAAAAGGUACUCCGGGGAUAACAGGCUGAUACCGCCCAAGAGUUCAUAUCGACGGCGGUGUUUGGCACCUCGAUGUCGGCUCAUCACAUCCUGGGGCUGAAGUAGGUCCCAAGGGUAUGGCUGUUCGCCAUUUAAAGUGGUACGCGAGCUGGGUUUAGAACGUCGUGAGACAGUUCGGUCCCUAUCUGCCGUGGGCGCUGGAGAACUGAGGGGGGCUGCUCCUAGUACGAGAGGACCGGAGUGGACGCAUCACUGGUGUUCGGGUUGUCAUGCCAAUGGCACUGCCCGGUAGCUAAAUGCGGAAGAGAUAAGUGCUGAAAGCAUCUAAGCACGAAACUUGCCCCGAGAUGAGUUCUCCCUGACCCUUUAAGGGUCCUGAAGGAACGUUGAAGACGACGACGUUGAUAGGCCGGGUGUGUAAGCGCAGCGAUGCGUUGAGCUAACCGGUACUAAUGAACCGUGAGGCUUAACCUUACAACGCCGAAG
rnacentral:rRNA from 1 species